AGCUGGCACACCACUUCAUCACAGCCGGACAAGUUCCCUGGCACGAUAAAGGGGUCACCAGUACUUGAACUGCAAAAGAUGUGUUGUCAACAAAGGAAUGCCGAGACAACAAAUGGAAACUUCCGAGGACGAAGAUGAUCAUAUGAUUCAAUUACAAGCGGCUGUUUGGCAACGCACCUCUCAAAUCCCGCGCGGGGCAACAAGAGCGACGUCUGAAGCAAAGCCGCAUCAUUUUAACUCACGUCGUCUGGUGGAGCUUCCUGCGGAAACUACUGCUGCUUACCUGGUGCCACAACGCUGGAUGAAUGCACAAAAAGCCCGCGACGAGCAUUUACAGAGGAUAAAAUAAACGUUAAUUUUUCCUCAUUUCACAA